rnacentral:rRNA from 1 species
UACGUAGGGUGCAAGCGUUAAUCGGAAUUACUGGGCGUAAAGCGUGCGCAGGCGGUUAUGUAAGACAGGUGUGAAAUCCCCGGGCUUAACCUGGGAAUGGCAUUUGUGACUGCAUAGCUAGAGUGUGUCAGAGGGGGGUAGAAUUCCACGUGUAGCAGUGAAAUGCGUAGAGAUGUGGAGGAAUACCGAUGGCGAAGGC